AGCUGUCCAAAAGUAAGAGCACGUGCCGAAACUGGCCGAACAUGCGUCACCGACUCGACGGCUUUGAAGUGUGCAAUGGCGCUCGUAUCCUUGCUCUGCAUUCCUUCGUGCCAUGGGCGCGCCAGUUAUUCUGUGCGCAGAUAACCAACAUUGUGGCUCCAGCGCUGUUUAGUCAGGGAGUUGGCUGUAAGGAUUUAAAAGAAAUAACACCUACAGCAAGCUCCCCUUGUUAUGGACUUCGAGCAUGGUCUAAGGCAAACAGCCUCAUUCUCAAUGAAACCAAAACAAAAUGUGUUAUUUUUCAUGCUCCGAGAAGUUCUACUGCAUUGCCAGAUAAUAUUGUUUUGGCUUUCCCUUUUUCACCUUGUGUCCUGUGGUGAAAAUAAAAAUCAUGAUGAUGAUGAUGAUCUUGGUGAUCCUGACAAGUUCGUAGUAUUGUGUGCCCGCCCUGCAAAUCAGCAAGACAUGAAAACCUCUACCACGCAACCCAGUUUACUAUUGCACUAUCCCCCAGACCAGCCCAUCCUGUUCGACAGGAAGCCAACUGAAUAAACACUCCAAACCCCGGGAAAGAAGGCAUAAAAAAACUUUUGCAUUAAUAAAGGAAUUGUGCUCUUGGAGGCAUAUAUUUGUUACGCUGAGAA